GCGAGUGAAGCGGCAAAAGCUCAAAUUUGAAACCCUCGGGAUUGUAAUUUGAAGAUUUGGCAUUGGAGAAAGCUAACCCAAGUUGCUUGGAAUAGUACGUCAUAGAGGGUGACAACCCCGUCUGGCUAACCGUUCUCCAUGUAUUGCCUUAUCAAAGAGUCGAGUUGUUUGGGAAUGCAGCUCAAAGUGGGUGGUAAACUCCAUCUAAAGCUAAAUACUGGUGAGAGACCGAUAGCGAACAAGUACUGUGAAGGAAAGGUGAAAAGAACUUUGAAAAGAGAGUGAAAUAGUAUGUGAAAUUGUUGAUAGGGAAGGAAAUGAGUGGAGAGUGGCCGAGGUUUCAGCCGCCCCUCGUGGGCGGUGUACUGCCGACGCCGAGUCAUCGAUAGCGAGACGAGGGUUACAAAUGGGAGCGCCUUUCGGGCGUUCUCCCCUAACCCUCCACACUGCCACCGACGACAUAAUCCACCC
rnacentral:rRNA from 1 species